UGAAAUUCGCCUUCACGAAGUCGGAAUUGCUAGUAAUGGCAGGUCAGCAUACUGCCGUGAAUACGUUCCCGGGCCUUGUACACACCGCCCGUCACACCAUGAGAGUUAGGAAUACCCGAAGCCUGUGAGCUAACUUUUAGAGGCAGCAGUCGAAGGUAGAACUAAUGAUUGGGGUGAAGUCGUAACAAGGUAAC
rnacentral:rRNA from 1 species